AAAACACUUUUAGUAAUGAUAUUCCUUAAGAAAAUUUUUUUAAAUAAACAAGACUCAAAUAACUACAAUAUAAACUCUUAUGUUAAUUUAAAGUUAUAUAAAAGUUACAUAAUUAGAUUAAUUUGACUUUUUAUUUGAACUACUGGAUCGAGUUUGAUCAAUUUGGAUUAAAGAAAAAGAAAAAACUUAAAAUUUGGCAAGUUGUUCAGCUGUCGUGAAUGGGCUGAACUUCAUUGUUAGGCUUCGUUGUCUAUGACUUUGUUUGGGACUGGACUUUUCAAAGUUGACUGAUUUCAAGUAGUUGCUUGAGGCUGAAUUUGAGAAGCUUCAGUCUAGUUCAUCUUCCACUUCACAAAAUCAUCAACUGAAACUUAAAAUUAGAGAAGCUGUCUGGGAAUGUUUGCCAUAUUGCUUGAAUGAAAAUAAAAGACCUGCCUCUUCUAAGAAUGCUACGUAUCCACAAGUAUGCUUUCAGUGUAGUACCGAAAAAAUUAAAAAAACCCACCACGAUACCCAACUCUGUUCUGUUGAGACUUUAAUUGAAAUUCUGUAUGCAAACAUCACAAGGAAUUGAGAUAAGAAAAUCUGAAAUAUGUUUAUGCUUUUCAUUUGUUUUCUUAAUCUCAACAAGUUAAAUUAAUUCAUGCAUUAAUGUAAUUUAUAAUGAGUGGGAUGGUAGUAUCAAAAUGACUUCGCUCACUUGUUUGUUGACCAGAAUAAAGAGAUGUGUCAGAGAAAUAAUACUUAAAACAAAAGUGUUUAAAGACGGAUUGGUUGGUGAUCUAAUUAUAUCGACCAAUUCACUUGCAAUCUUCUAACUCCAAUUUGCUAAUCAUUGACAGGACCUAAUAGGAAAUGCAAUAUGUAUAGCCUCUCCCAUUUGCAUAAGGCAAGAUGCACACACGGGCAUAGAAGUUGGGACACGAUAGAAAAGGAUAUCACUCACCGUAUAGUAAUUAGUAAGAAUCACAGCUUUCAUUUAGGGGGAAAAAUAUCAGUUGGUUCUCUGUUGAAAGUUUAGAAGUCCAACGGAAUUCUGCAUGUGUAAUUGCAAGAACAUGAGCAAUUUCCUAUUGUUUUCCUUCUGUAAGCAGUGUAAGCCUUUACACCAUAUUCAAACUGUGACCCAUACAUAUGGGAUGCACAUGCUGCUUUGUAAGUUAGGAGCUGCAAAUCACCCGUUGCAAAUAAAAGUGACAACAAGAUAUUUUAAGUACCAUGGCGUAUUGGAUGAAGGCUGGUAGCCCCUUAAAUCUUGAAGUUUGAGCAAGAAAUAAAUGAGAAAAACUAUGAAACUCGAAAGUUCAAGGAUAAAAAAAAUUGAUUCUACCAAAUAAAAAGCGAGACAAACCCAUAUCAAAAAAAGGGAAGAAGCUAAAUUACCUGCAGAUGCAACCCAGGUUCUUGCUGAAGUGACGUGCCAGCCACCAACGGCAGCGAAUCCUCCAAGCCUAUCCUGACUUCCCAUGUAUAAAAAUUUUGGGGAUUCUAUUGUAACGAACCGAGUAACAUUGUUUUUUUCCACUGUCACUUCCAUUAAGACAUAUACUGACAUACGAUCCUCUUCGUGAUGAGAGACUUUAAGAAAGCAUUAAGCAAACUCUCUCCAUGUAUUGUAUUCCACAAAGACAGCAUCCAAAUGUAAAGCAAUCAUUUCCAAAAGGGAUUCAGGGCUAUAAUUCCCAUUUUGAUGCAGGCUGAUAUGCCUUGCCAAUGACUCACUACAUGUAGGAUCACUCUUUAAGCUGUCCUCAACACAAGUUGAAAGAGCAAAACUGUUAGUAGGAUCAACACGCUCCAAGAGGUAAGCCCUCAACCUGCAUCAAGGGAAGCAAGGCAGCCAUUACUGGAGGCUUUCAGUAAACAGCUUCUCGUAAAUACAUUACUGCACUCUCAUAUUCAUCAUCUUGAAUCACUCUUUCUAACUCCCAAUUCUUGGUUUUUAAGGACAACAACCACGAAUCCAAGCUUUCGAGAAGACAAACUUCCACCAACAAGAAAAGAUGGUCAGCAAAACCCGCUGCCGUGAUUUCCCUUCCUACAACCACGAUUACCAAUCAGGAUUCGGCAACCGCUUCGAGUCGGAGGCCAUCCCUGGAGCUUUGCCUCGUGGACAGAAUAGCCCUCUCUUGUGUCCUUAUGGUCUUCAUGCUGAGCUGAUCCCUGGGUCCUCCUUCACAUCUCCUCGCAAGCUCGAUCAAUGCAGGUUUUUUUCCCCUCUCCACAUGAUGCUUUACGGAGCAGGAUUGAUCAAGCCGGUCCGAUCUAGUUCGUGGCUUGGCGUCGUUGGCUUUAUCGAAUCAAAUUAUCAGUGGCCCAUGAACUUUACUUUGUUUUGGAGAGGUUUAUCAGAAGUAAAAUAUGAGUUUUCAAAAGUAAUAAAUUUAUAAAUAAUUUAAUUAAAAAAUUAAUUUUUAAUUGAAAAGUAUAUAUUUCACACUAACAAUUCAUUCUCAUUAAAGAAACAAAACCAGAAUCUUGAUAUUUUCUUUGAAACUUGCACUGAAUCGAUAAAGAAAUGAAAAUAUAACAAAUCUAUCAUUAUGCCCACUUAAUGCCUCGUGUACAUACGAGCACACACAUAACAAGUAUUAGUAAUGGAAUACAAUAUGAUAGCUGGUGAUAUGAAGGGUGUCUCGAUGAAGGACAUGCGGAAAGGUAGUCAAGAUACUAUUUGGGAGGAUAUAGGUGAAAUACGGGUACUCUGGAUGCUUCUACGACUCCUUUUCGAGUACUCGUAUGGGCUUAAGAUCAAUCUACGAUUUCUCUUUUUGCAAGGCAAUAAGGAGUUAGAGGGGCAAGGGGGUUUUCCCGCAUGGCACUCCGAUGAUAAAGUUGGUACGAGGUAGGAAAGUUUAAGGAAAAGAGAAGAGAAGUAAAGGUACAGGGAGUAGGGGGUUUAAAAGGUUAAAGAAUGUUUUACCUGAGGUAGUAAAUGCUAAUAUAUACUUUUGAGGUGCCAGUAAUAAUUUACCACGUGUAUGUUUAUGUCAAGUGGGUUUGUUUUAUACAGCUAUGUCUUUGUCUAAGGCUAAGGUAUGUCUCCUAGUAGGGUAAUUAUAACUCUUGACAUGUCUGAAUUGGCAGUCAUUGUGAGUCUAACAGAUGUAGGCUUGGGAGCUAGCCGAAUAAUAAACUCUCGGUGCAUUAAUGGUGUGCAGUUGGCUUGGAGAUCAAGCUGGCCAACUGUCUUAUCUUGCAAGUGGAAGAAUUCACUCGAAAUACAUGUCACUCUGACAUGUUUUAUCAAAUUAAAUGGCGCGUGAGGUAUUAAGGGGUCAUCCUUGAGUAUAUGACACCUCUGAGUAGUCAUAACUGGCUUGCCUUACUCAGUUAUUGAUAAGGCAAUGGGUGAAGUUAACGGGUUCUUCGACUAGUCCCAGCAGGUUCAUCCCCUUUGGUAGCAGACUUGCUUGUUAGAAUGCAUGUGUUGUCUGUAUUGAGAUUACCUGCCUACAUCCGUGUAUCAUACCCUCAUGCAGUACCUGGACUGUAUAUAUGGGGAAUACGACCUUUUAGGGACACGUGACAUCAAUCACAAUACAUCCAAGAAACUCUAGGUAGUUAUUUAAGCGUUGUAGAAUUUGUUCUUUGUGCUAAUUUUCCUAAAGAGUUCACUGCAUAAUUUCUCAUAUGCAAUAGCUCUUCUGAAGCCAUUUCAGCUGAUUUUCAAUGGUAUUUCUUAGAAUUUGAAUUUCAUGAGAGGAUAAUUUAAGAGUUGAUUACCACAGAGAUUAGCUAAGAUUAUUAUUUUUCAUUUCAGGUGUGUUUACGGAACUUAUACAACAAAUGCAAGUGAAGGGUGUGCAGGUAAUCUUUUGAAUUUGUUAUGUGAUUUUGGUUGCAAUUUUCAUAAUGUUUGAGGCCUUUUCCACGCUUUUUAUGGAGUAAUGCUGUUUUGUUAUUUUAUUUGCAGAGGAUUUAAAUGUUAUAAUCUGGUUGUUUUUAUGUAUUUUUAUUUGGAGUUAUAAUUUUAACAGUAGGAGCCAAGUUAAUCUUUUUGUCAUUGAUUUUUAUUUCCAUGGCAUGAAAUGUCUUUUGUAUUUCUGUUUGUGUAGAUACACGUUUCAUGAUAUAGCAACUUCUAAAAAGGAAUGAACUCAUGCAAUAAUUUCAUUCUUUCAAAAUCUAGGUAGUUUGGAAUUAUCAUUGUGGAAAAAAAAAAGUACGAGGCAAAUGCUUCUAUAGAUUUCUCAUAGAGAUUGGUAGUCUCCAGAUUCCUGUAUACUAUUUCUGGCCUCUUCAUAUAGCCAUCAUCAUCACUCUGCUAUGUCAUUACUUAUAACUUCAGAACCUGAUCUUUGUCACCACCACCACCACCAAAGUGCUUGUAUUAUCACUGCUUUGCAACCUUCACACCACCAAAGUUCCUAUAUGGUCACUACUUUGCAACCGUCAAGAACGAUAAUGUUAUCAUCAGCGUUUUCAUUGCUGCUGUCCAUAGUUAUCAAAUUGGCCUAAUCCCCCUGGGAUUCUGCAACUCAGAUCGCGUGAUUUUUGUGUCCCAAAUUGCUUGGGGACGCUAUCUGGGUUGCCAAAUCAAUUGAUUCCAUUUCAGUUCACUUGGUGCAAAAUCAAAGGGCUUCCCACAGAUUUAAAGGGAAGAAGGAGAAGUACUCUCUCUCUUUCUCUCUCUCUUUUUAAAAUAAACUUACCUGUGAUGUUACUUGUUAGAAUAAAAAGAAGAAGAAGAAUAGAGUAGAAGAAGAACAAAAGAACAGAGGAGGAGGAGGCCCCUCUGCAUUGGUAGGAUAAAAAAUUUUCUCCGAUUUAAUCUUGCUGGUUACGCAUAUCAUAAGCCUUAAAUUAUAAGGCCUUGGUAACACAAGCCACUGAGCUCCAAAUUAUAAGGCCAGGAGGAGGACGUCUCUCUGCAUCAGAAGGAUAAUCGGACUCUGAUUUAAUUUAACCUUGAUAGUUACACAUAUCGUAAACAUUAAAUUAUGAGGCCCAUUAAGUCUUAAAUCAUAAGGCCUUGGUUGCACAUGCCAUUGAGCCCUAAAUUAUAAGGCUAGGAGUUCUCUCUCUACAUCAGUAGGAUAAAAUUGUAAAACAACAUUUAAUAAUAUUUUGCAAAAAAAAAGAUUUUUGGUAUUUUCUUUUACUAAUAUUAAUCUUGUAAAAUUUAUAUAUCAUAUGUAAAAAAAAAAUAAAAAGAAAUUAUUAUCUGAUUGGGUAUUUUUAGAUGUAGAGAUUAUUGUGGUUAAGUUUAAUUUAUGUACUGCAAACCAAUUAUGUAUAAUUUAUGUGUCGCAUUCUGAAUUGACAUACUGACUAAGCCUACUCCUUGUGUACCCUAUACCUAGUUAAGUGGUGUAUUGUGUACUCAUACAUGUAAUGAUCCAAGAAUUACCAUGACUGUUGCUGUAUCCAUCUUUCUAUCUCCAUCUCCAUUUCGGUGCUGUCACUUUGAAUUCUUGUAUUUUCCAUUUUAGUUAUCAAGUUACCAAGCAAUUCCAUUUGAAUUCUUGACUGGUUAUUGCUCUGUGGAUGUUUGAGUUAUCUGGAUUCAAAUGUGCAGCCUGUCUAUCGGAUUGAUAAAUUUCUUUGGCUGUAGUCCAAUGGUUUGUUGCUUUUCAUUUUUGUCAUGUGUUCAAUAACUGCACGUUAUAGUGUAUAAAUAAUUGCCGCACAUAUUUCUCUCUUUAUCUUCAUGUACGUCUAAUGUUUUGAUGUGUCUAAGCAGGUUGAGGAGCUGUAUUCUUUGGACCUUGAUUCUCUUGACAGCCUUAGGUUGUUGAUCAAUUUCAUUGCCCUAUACCUUUUUUCAUCUUCAUAUCCACUUUCAUGUUAACAUAUGGAUUUUCCUCUUGAUUAGGCCUAUAUAUGGGUUGGUUUUCCUUUUCAAAUGGCACCCAGGGGAAAAAGAUGAACGUCCUGUGAUAAAGGAUUCAAACUCCAACCUUUUUUUUGCCAGUCAGGUCAUUAACAAUGCUUGUGCAACCCAAGCAAUUCUAUCCAUCCUAAUGAACUGUCCAGACAUUGAUAUUGGCCCAGAAUUGUCAAAGUUGAAAGAAUUCACAAGGAAUUUUCCACCUGAACUCAAAGGUUUGGCCAUCAACAACAGUGAAGUUAUUCGUGCGGCUCAUAACAGUUUUGCAAGACCUGAGCCCUUCGUUCCUGAGGAGCAGAAGGCUGCUGGAAAAGAUGAUGAUGUGUACCAUUUUAUAAGUUAUUUGCCUGUUGAUGGAUUUCUUUAUGAGCUUGAUGGCUUGAAAGAAGGUCCCAUUAGCCUUGGCCAGUGCACUGGUGGGCACAAUGAUAUGGACUGGUUGCGUAUGGUGCAACCAGUGAUCCAAGAACGCAUAGAGAGGUAUUCCAAAAGUGAAAUAAGAUUCAAUCUCAUGGCAAUAAUUAAGAACAGGAGAGAAAUAUAUACUGCUGAACUCAAGGAGCUGCAAAGGAGGAGGGAGCGUAUUUUGCAGCAGCUGGGUGCAUUACAGUCGGACAGGCUAGUGGAUAGUAGCAACCAUGAAGCAUUGAACAAAUCACUAUCUGAGGUAAAUACUGGGAUUGAGACUGCAACUGAGAAGAUUUUGAUGGAGGAGGAAAAGUUCAAGAAGUGGAGGACGGAAAAUAUUCGGAGGAAGCACAAUUAUAUACCCUUUUUGUUCAACUUCCUGAAGAUUCUUGCCGAAAAGAAGCAGCUGAAGCCCCUUAUCGAGAAGGCCAAGCAAAAAACAUGAAGGAGAUUGCUGGUUAGCUUAUGAUGUCUUUUCUGGUGUCAUGUACUGUUCCAGGAUAUUUGUAUUGUUAUAAUUUAUUCGUAGAGGACUUUUUUAGCAUAUUUUUGGCAUGUUACUUAAAUCACUAGUUGAUUGUCUCUAGAUCACUAUUCUCUAUCCCCCUAGGUUUUUUGAAACAACUCCUUGCUUGUAGAGCCUUUGGUUGUUCAAGCAUCUCACUCUGAAACUUUUAAGACUACAUAAAAUGAUCAAGAGUACAUGGAUAACCAUUAUAGGAUAGGGUCUUCGUUGUGAUUGGUUUGGCUAUGGAUUCUGGAGUUGUAUAUGUAUCCAACGUUUUACAUUAAAUUAAAGUUGUUAAGUC
rnacentral:misc_RNA from 1 species